ensembl:lncRNA
CCAGUGGCAGUGGAGGAAUCGUCCCGUUGAGCAGUGCCCCAGUGACGCGGCCCAGGGCUAUAAAAGCAAAAGUUGUGGCCUGUCCAGUAGGAGUUAGCCACAGGGAGGAGUAGGGGCUUGGGCUUAGUUGUGGAGGGCGGAGUUGGAUAGUUUAGGGUCUUAGGAGAUAGAUGAGAGAUAUGGCAGCGUUAGAUGAGGCUGGGGAACUUGGGGUGCCAAGAGAAGGAAGGUUAACGGGGGGACUAGAUCUUGGGGAAAUUGUGCUGGGGAGAGCUGUGUUGAAAGGGCCCGCAGUAGCCCAAGGGGAAGACGACACCCCAGGCCUGGCUGUCGCAGCUGUCUGCUGGAGCAGGGGAACUUGAACUUUGGGUGGGCGCCGCUCCUGCGUAGGCUGAGCGGGCCCCCGGUGCCCGGGUUUGUGUAGGAGGAGGAAAGCAGAGACGGAGAGGUGGAGGUGGAGGGUCUUGCCUCCCUUGCUGGAGGCGGAGUUGGUCAGUCGAUGCUUUGAAAAGGAGCUGGAAGACAAAGGGUUGUGAGCCCGCCUGGGGAUGAGGCCUCGUGUGGUGGAAGCUGCACUUAGCUUCGCGGGGCUGACAGCUUUGGCCCAGGGCGGUGGCAGUGCUCCCCUUUGGACUUUUCCUCUAGGUUCCUCGCUAACCUGUUCUGUGAGCUCACUCUGCCCCCUCUCCUCCCCUUCACUCUCUCGAGGUUACCCAUUCACUUAAAACAUUGCUUCUGGUAAUCUGGUAAGCCGGGAAAGUUGUUCCCAUUGGAGUCGGUAUCUUGGUAACCGUGAAGAGGAGAGGCAGCCCCUGCUGAGACUCUGGGUGGGCGGGGUGGUGUUGCUUGCCAGUGGAGAGGGUGGGGAUUGAAUGUGCACCCUUGGGUGGGCCCGCAGCGACGGUACCAUCUAAAAGCUACGAAAAUGCCUCAUGGACGGUGGUUUGUUACUGUAGUGUUCAUCAUGGCGAUCUGAUGGCACCAGGAGAAAUGGAGCCCCUGGCCAGUGUGAGUCGUAGCGGUGCAGGAGGGGAGACCCUGGAGGAAAGAACCCGUCUAAAUUGCUGUCUGCAGAGUGAAUUUCCAGAGGCUUAGGAGGAGGAAGUUCUCCAGUGGCAUGUUUCCAGGCCUUGCUCAGGAACCCCUGUAUUCAGGAGGCCAUCCUUUAAGGUUUUCAUGAGCUUAUGAGGGGCAGUCUUUAAAAGGCCAAAGCAGAUGGAUCCGGGGCCGUCAGCAGAUGUGUUGCUUUGAGUGUUUGAUCCGGGAGCAACGAUCUCUGGGCACGUGAAUGUCAGCAGGCCGUUUCCUGGGUUGGAGGUUUCAGAUGCUGCCAUCUUCUAAAUUGAGUCUCCUGUCAUACUAGUGUGCCACGAACCUUGUUUCCAGAAGACUCUUAAGCUGUAGAACAUUUUAACGCUGAUGCCACAACUCAGAUGAUGCCUUGUAGAUGGAGCUUGCACAUGGAUCCCAGUGACCCUCAUCUACCCACCUGCCUGCCUGUGCUUUUGUCGGAGGAGUUCUUAGUGUGAUAUAUAAUGUGUGUGGGAAAGCGUUCCAGAUUGAAAUACAUUAGGCAAAUACUUAAAUGAAGCCAACUGACUUAAAUGAAGCCAACUGGCGAAGUGGGGGUGGGGGUGGGGUGUCAUUGUGCUGUGCUAGGUGGGAGGGUGCUGGUCAUAUCCAGAUUGUGAUAAAAAUGGCAGAUUUAGUUUGGUCACUUUUGUUACCAGAAGGGAAUAGUCAGGGUACCGAUAGUAAUCUGUUCAUCUUGCUCUAUAUGCUUCUUAACUUAACUUAGUUGAUUAGAUUUCAGAGGAAUCUUUGUGUUCAAAGGGGAGGGCCCUGAGGUGAGGGGUUGAGGGGUGGGAAACAGCCUGGCCCUGGGGAGGGUGAGCUGAAGAGAAGGCUGUGAUUAGGUGUGGCUGGCGGAGGGUGGGAGGGGUAGGGAAAGUGGGUGGAAGGGAAUUCUCUGGAGAAAAGAUCAGUAGGCAGAACUCUAGGGGAUAGAGCUCAAAGGCAAAGAGAAUGCUAGUUAAUAGUACAUUGUUAAUGAUAGUUAAAUUGUUACUUGAAGUUUCUACAGUGCUUCAAACUGCUAAGGGUGGGGAAGGCAAAAAGCAAAAUUGUUUUGCUUUGCUAUAAGAAGGGGAAGGCUGAAAAGGUAACUGAAACCUCAGUCUCUUGAAAGAUGGGUGUCAGGGACUUGCAUCAGCAGAUUAACAUCUUUCACUCCUUUGCAAAUUUCUUAAGUGGUUUAUCUGAAGGUGUGCAAUGUUCAGGGACUAGUUUCAGAAAAUACUUACCCAAAUUGUGGGCUUUAAAGUAUUUUGAGAUUUUGGUACGCAUUUAGAUGCCCUCUUCUGGGUUUGUAACAUUUUUGUUCACUUGGUAUUUUGCAGUUGAAAGUUUGAGCAAAGUGAAAACAAUGAUUUCUAAAGGAAUUUUGUAUGUUACUUCUUGCUCUAUAAACAUCUUAUCUUUUCUUUGUGAUGAGUAAUUAGUAAUAGCCAAAGCUUUUUCUUUUCAUCCUCAUUGUAACAAGGAGAACUUAAAUCGUGAUCACUCUCUAAUUACUGUAAUAUUUGGUAGCAAACAAUCUAUGUACCCUUGCUAAGGUUCCAGUUAAUAGUUCACACCAUCUUCAGUUUGAAUGUUUGUGUUAAGUGAAGGAGUACUAGAGGGGAAACUUAACCAAAAUCAGGUAGGGAAAUAAAGAGUGAAACUGGGGGUGGGGAGUUAUUUCCUGGAUUAUGGUGUUUGUAAAAAUUUAGGGAAGUAGCAAUCCUUUGUGAUAAAGUAAUACCAGUGACUCUAUCCUGUCCAUUUUUCCCAUUGAAUUUCGUUUUGAGAAUUUUAAACCCUCAGUACUUACGACAUGGAAUUUUUCUGGGUUCUUUAAAAUGUUUACAAGUAUGUUGAUAGUUGCGUUCUUAACCUGUAACUUGGGCAUGUGAUACAGUUACUGUCAUUGGAAUUUAAAGAGCAUUAGUCAUGCGUGUAUGGGGAAAUAUGUUCCGGUAAGCUGUUGUGAAAUUGAAACUGUAAAAACAGGUGGAAAGGAAUCUUUCAUGUUGCUCUGUAUGGUAAGAACCAGUCCUUGUCGCGUCAUGUGUGUAACUACUAACACUUUUCUUCCCCUUUACAGCACGAAUAAAGGUUUGCGUUCUAAACUCAUUAGAAUUGCUUGUAUUGCUAUAUUUUUUCAACUCUGAUUUUGUCUGUAUGUCAUGAAGCGAAAUGUACCUUCAUACUGUAGACUUAGGCUUAGAUUGACUAAUGUAACUCCAGACUGAGGUCGUUGAGCUCAGUAUGGUAACCUCAACAGAACUGGUAGGUCCUGAAUGGCCUGCGUCCCCAGUGGCAGUUGGGGAUGGACUCUGCUGACUGGGAGUGUGUGAUGGUUGUGCAAAAUGUGGUGACAAACCACAAGCCAACGAAGGUCAUUGUCAGGGUGGGGAGACUAUUUCCUAACUUCUUGGAAUUUUACCGAAUUAUAUUUCCAAAUCGUUUGUUAAAAAGGGGAUCUCUCUUGAUGACUGUGAGCAGCCUAACAAAUGGAAAGAACAUGUAAUAUACGUUUGACAUACUUGUGGUCUUUGGGAGGCUGGAAUGUGUCUAGGAUUUGGGUUUAAGCACAUACUUCUCAUUUUACUAAUUGCAUAAGUGCUGUGCUAAGCAAUUUGGAAUCCAGGGUGUGUGUUGUGUCUAAGCUGCCCCUGUGUCCUGGGCGGGGAGAGCCCAGCAGUGAUGCUGGGAGCUCGUUUUUGUGCUGCUGUUCUGUGUUCAUUGGGGCCCUAAGGUUUUGCUUUACAGGAGAUGAACUUAGAAUAGAAACCACCACCCGCCUCUGCUGAGGCGGCUUUUAUGUCCAAGGGAGUGGGAAGGGGACAGGGACAGGCUGUUCUGUGACCACAGUGAGGGGCUGGGAGAGCAGCUGGGUGUGGCCCCUGCAGAGACUGGAAUUAGGUGCCCGCCUGUCCUGAGGCUCACAGCUGUGCAGGUUCAAGGAUUUUUCCCCUGCUCAGCACCCUGUUCUUGAUUUCCCCAGAACAAUCUAGGCUUCCUUUCCUACCUUGCCCUUCUUGUUUUUGCUCAGUUCUUUUCUGCCUGCCUUGCCUUUUUUUGGAACUUAUUUUUCCUUUUGUUUUUAUACAGUGAUUACCAAACUCAGGGUAGCUGCUAUGAGUGUCUCUGGGUACUGUUACCUAGCGAUUGGUGGGCUGAUGAAGAGUUUCUCCACGGGGGUGUAAAUGUCGUUGAAAAGGGGACUGUGAAGUGGGCCUGAUGGUUCAGGAGCAGAGCAGGCAGCUGGAGGCUGUACCCACGCCCUCCUGGCUUCUGCCUUGUCCCAGGGCCCUGCCUGUUCUUUAUCCUCUGUUCACAGGUCAGGUGGGAUAUGUCAAAGGUAUCGUUGAUGGUGUUGGUGAUCACUGCUGAUCGGUUUGCAUCCUCAUACAUAGAUCUGAAUUCAGCCUUCCGUCUGAACUCUGAGAGGCAGUGGAUGGUACAAUGAAAUUCAGGGAGUGGGCUUGUAGCAUUUAGGUGGAAAGUGGAGAUCUGGUGCAGCUAAAUGUAAUGGGGUAUAAAAAUAGCAAGAGGUGAAUUUGGAAGUUCUUUCAAAAAGAAAUAGCCGAAGAGGAAGUGUUGGUUGAGGCUCCUUUGUGGGCCCAGACUGGACACCCUGAGAACUUUGUAAAUGGCCUGUGUUAACAGAAGGGUUCCUCACCCCCACUUCACUCUGUUGGCUGCCCUUGGUUUGUCUUACUGGUUGUGGCCGUGGCCAGGGCUAACCUCUUUGUGUACUUAAGUUUCUGGAGGAAAUGUUAACCUCUGGCCUUGGGCAGUACUUGCUAUUGUGCAGUGCUGAUGUUACAUGAAAUGGCAAGACAUGCUUCAGAUAUUUGUGGUAAGUUUUAAAUGUUUAUGGGAGGUGGGAGGGGGGGUUCAGGAUUGGGAACUCAUGUACACCCGUGGCGGAUUCAUGUCAAUGUAUGGCAAACCAAUACAGUAUUGUAAAGAAAAUAAAGUAAAAAUUAAAAAAAUAUAAAUGUUUAACA